rnacentral:rRNA from 1 species
CAUGAUACGCCAAGCUAUUUAGGUGACACUAUAGAAUACUCAAGCUAUGCAUCCAACGCGUUGGGAGCUCUCCCAUAUGGUCGACCUGCAGGCGGCCGCGAAUUCACUAGUGAUUAGAGUUUGAUCAUGGCUCAGAGUGAACGCUGGCGGCGUGGAUUAGGCAUGCAAGUCGAGCGAUGCCGAUGUUUUUUAUCGGCAGAGCGGCAGACGGGUGAGGAACACGUGGGUAAUCUGCCCUUAAGACAGGAAUAGCUUCGUGAAAACGGAGGUAAUUCCUGAUGGUAUUAAAAUGGCGCAUGUCAUUUUAAUUAAAUGAUGGGGACCGCAAGGCCUAUCGCUUAGGGAUGAGCCCGCGUCUUAUCAGCUAGUUGGUAGGGUAAUGGCCUACCAAGGCUUUUGACGAGUAGCUGGUCUGAGAGGAUGGUCAGCCACACUGGGACUGAGACACUGCCCAGACUCCUACGGGAGGCUGCAGUCGAGAAUCUUUAGCAAUGGACGAAAGUCUGACUAUGCGACSCCGCGUGAGGGAUGAAGGUCUUCGG